GACUACGACGCAUUGCCUAUUGGCUAGACUUUAGUGACCCACUAAUGAUCUCCUGCAUAGAUUGUGGGUCAUGGGCAAUGUUGGGUCAGUUUGAAAAAGCAUGUGUGGUACGUGAUCUAUAAUUGAAGGCGAAGUGCCCCACUGCACAUUUAUUCCUAGACCAUAUGAACCCAUCAAAGUAUUUAAUUUUAUUUAUUUUAAUAAUAUAUGAUUUUUAUAAUUGUUAUUUGAAUUUUUUUAAAUCUUUAGAUAUUUUAUUUAUCAAAUUUAGAUGUAUAAAAACAUAGAUAUUGAUUUUAUAUUGAUUUAAAUAUGCAAAUAUGAUUUUAUGAAUUUCUAAAAAUAAUAUUAUUUUAAAUAUUGCAUCGGAGGCCCAAUAGGACUUAUAGGCCUACCAUGACAAAUUAGGUGGAGCCCAUUAUGUGCCACAAAGAGUGGCACGCACCGCCUAGGUGGCUUUCUAUUUUGAAAGAGCACAAGCUCUUGCCUUCAAAGACAAGAAACUUGUGUUCUAGAAAAGCUUGAGCCUUGUGAUAAUUUUGAAUCAAAUUUUAACAUGUUUGAUAACGCUUGAGCAUAAAAUAAGAAAUGAUGAUGUUAUCAUAUAUUAAUUUUUUAUUUGAAUUAAUUGAUGGGAAAAUAGUUUAAGAAGUGAAAGAAUAAUAGUUCUCGCACAUUUCAAAUAAUAUUGAUGACCAAUCUAUGGAAUUGACGGCUCAUAUCUCUCACAUCACAAGUCACCCAAAAUCAAUGAUGUAUAUUCAAUCUCAAAUGAAGAGACAAACCAUGGAAAAUAUUAAAAAACCCUAAAUCUAUUGCAGCACUAUAAAAAUAGGAGUACCCUAUCCAAAUCUCUACACCUUAAACUUUCCAUCUCUCUCUCCCUUUCCCUCUCGCUCAUCCAACUAGGUGGCAUGCCCUACUCUAGGAAGACUCUCACUCAUCUUGGAAACUUUCUCUCUCCCUCAAAAAACCUAAGGGGCAAGCCCCACUCUUGGAAGUCUCUCUCUCUCAUCUUGGAAACUCUCUCUAUCCUUCAAGAAAGCCCAAGGGGCACUCCCCACUCUCUACAAUUUCUAUUGCUCUCAUGGUCUUUUCUCUCAUCUUUCAUCAUACUUUGGUGUUAAGUCUUUAGGGUAUGAUAGAAAGAGAAGCAAUCCCUCAACUAGGUUAUCAAAAGGGUUCACCUAGCUUAUGAGUUUUUUAUCAAAAGGGUUCAUGUUUCAUUGGUGUGGCUUGUUCUAAACUUGUUUUUUCGAUUGAGAUUGAAGGUUGGUCAUUAGAUCCCACGUCAUCUGAAGAUGGUGACAUGUCCUUUUCUUUAUUAAUAAAAAGUAAUGUUCUGAAUGGCUUCAAGUUCUUCAAAUCUUAUUUAUUCUUUUAUUUUAUUUUAUUUGAAGUUAUUUAUUGUAAAAUGACUACUUGAAAGUGAUUUAGGCCGUGAAGAAAAGAAAAAGAAUUGAAAAAAAAUAUAUAUAUAUAUAUAUAUAUAUAUGGAAUUAUGUGGGUCAUCAUAGUAAGAGAAUAAAGAGCCUUUUCAUUGUCCAAAGAAUUUCUUUAGCAUACUUUGCCUGUUUUCUCUCUAUAGAUAAAUUUUCUCUUUUUACUUUGUCGGCUGCCUCUGGCCCUGAAUCACUUGUUAAAUGGUAAUAUGACAUCAAUCCACAUUAUUUUAUUUUAUCCAUGUUAUUUUUUAUUUUGAAUGAAAUAGUGAAAUAUUCUUGAAUAAAGGCUGCUUUUUCCUUUUCACCCCUUCCGAUCAAAUUACUAUAUCAAAUGCUUCCACAAAUUUCCAACAUCACUCAUGAUGUCUAAGGUAGAUAUUGUUAUAAUGUUAUUCAAUCUAGAGGUUCAUCUGUCGUGGUUUAUGGUCACAAAUACAACAAAUAGGGCAGUCUUAAUCAUGUGAUUUUGGUUUAUAAGCUCAUGAAUCUUAUUUCUAGUCUUGAUAUGGACAAAUCGUUAGUUGAUCUUAUACAUCACUUAUAAUAAUCAACUUAAAAAUAGACUUGAACAUUUUGUAUUUUCAAAUCCUACGGUGUAAAUUGACAGUUAUUCUACGUACACCCUGUCCUAUUUCCAUUGAUAUUCUAUGUUCGCCUGAGCUCCUCACAGAAACCGUAUGCAGGAUUUUGGAGCAAGAGCACCCGAUUCAAAAAAAAAAAUUUCUUCUUAUGGGGUGAUUUACCCUUAUGGAUAUGAGUUAGGGCUUUAGACUAUAUAUAAGGUCUAUAUGUAUUUUUCCUCAAGUGAUUAUGAGAUUUCUCUGAGGCAAGUUGUUUUGAUAGUAGAACUAUUGAUCUUCUUUGCUUGUCGACACAAUCAUGUUUGCUGAUGACGCACAAAUCUUGGUGUUUUUUUUGUGCUAUUUCUUUUCGAUUUGUUUACUUUGUGUAUGGUUAUUAGUUGUUUUCUUUUUUGUUUUUCUUAUUGUCCUCAUCCCAUCCAAACUUAGUAUAAAGAUGUAAUUUUGGUGUCAAAAAUUCUUUGGAUGACCUAAACAUGUAUUUUCAUCUCUCAUUACAAAAUUUAAAACUUCAAAACUGGUCCAUAUCAAACAGAUCUAUAAACAUAUGAAAAUAUUUUAAAAAUGACGGUUUAGAUAAUAGGAUAUAAUGCGUAAUUUCAAAUAAUUGGGGAAUAUUAAUCUAAAGCUCCCCAUGAAGUACUCGCAUGAUGUUUUGUAUGUGUUCGUAUGCACUAUGCAGUGAGUAGAGGGUGAACCGCAUGGAUGGAGAAGUGGCUAGAAUUUUUAGUUUACCUAUAUGAAUUUUUGAUUUUCUGAAUAUAUUAAGACCCUGCAAUAUCAUGGUAUAAUGUAGAAUUUAUGAUAAUCUUUGAUCUUAAAAAAUAUUAAACAACUUGUGAGGUGUUUUGUUCAAGAAACCAAACCAAUGCUUAUUGAAAUCUAGAUAAUUGUAAAUCAUCUAAAUUCCACAAAUUUUAAGUGAGACUUGCAUUUUACGGGAUUCAAUUCUUCUAUGGUUCUUUUGCUUUUGCUUCACCCUCGCUCGAACAGAAGUGGUGCAACAGAGUUUGGAUGGUGGGUGCCAGAAAACAGAGGCUUGGGUCUUUCAUGAGUAAAGAGAGAUGAGUAAAGAGAGAGAAAACAUAGGAGAGCAGAUGGAAAGAUUUGAUGGAUGGUUUAUCAAAGAGAGAGACGUAACAGAGAGCUAAGAGAGACGUUAGAGAGAGAAUAGUGGAUCUCUAAAACAGAGGUCUACGAGAAAGUAGAGAUUUUAAAAGUUUACGAGAAAGUAGGGAAAAGGAAAUAGAGUAAGAGAGAGAAAAAAAAUAGGGGUUAUGCAAUGGAGAAGAGAGCCAUAAUGUUGAGAAGAAGAGCCAUCAACGGACAAAAAUCUCUCUAAAGUUUCUCUCUCUAUAGUUUCUCCCUCUAAAGUUUCUCUCUCCAUCUGUAAUCUCUCUAUGCUGUAUUAUUCUUUGGGUUCGCAUGGCAUCUCAUCUGUGGAGGCUCAAAAGGUGUUAAUGGUUCAGAUUGAAACAGACUCACUUAAGGGACAAAAAUGUACUUUAUUUUUUAUUUUAACUUUAUUUUAAAAUAGUAUUAAUCUAAAAUUUCAGCUCAAGCUUCACUUUAUAUGUAGAAUUGAAUAAUUUUGAAUAAAAAAAUAUUGAUUAAACUAAAUUUAGGGGUGUUUUGAUUAUUUUCUAUUUAAAAAAUUUUAAUUAUUAAAAAUAAACCUAAAUCCAAAAAUUCAGAUAAAUAUCUCACUUAAAUAAACAAUAAAAAAAUAUGAUAUUAAAUUUUAGCCAUCAGAUGUGCCCUAGUGAAAUCUCAAUCAUUAGAAACGUGCUUGUACACCCCUUCCAUGUGGAUAGGAUGCUUUUCCUUCUCCUUUUCAGCAUCUCUCUCCCUAGAACUGCAUUUAGCAUUGUUUUUAUGAACUUCCCUUGUGAAAUUUGUGAAAUAUAGGCACUUGAAAAAACUAUGAAAUAUAGGAGGCAAUCAAACCAUACAAAAAAUAUAUAUCUCAGAAAACAGUUUAACCAAAAUAUAUCAAAAGCCAGUAAUACAUUUAUUCAUAUAUCCAUAAUCUUGAAUAUUCAAGACUUCAUUGUGUCGAACCUACUAUGAUCUUUUAUGAGAAUUAACAUACUCUAAAGUUAUUUUAUUAGUUGUUUGGUCACAUAUAUUGAUAUGCAUAAUAUUAUUUAAAUAUUUAAUUUUCUAAUGAAUUCUAGCUAUGUUUAGCUAUCUCUAGCUGUAAAUAAAAUUACUUUAAAUAAAAUUAAAAUAGUUUUUCAAAAGGAUAAAUUUAAAUGUAAAACCUCCUAAAGUUUAUCUCACAAAUACCUUUCCGAUGAACAUAACCGCAUACAAAUAAUGGGAUAUUAAGAUUN
rnacentral:lncRNA from 1 species